rnacentral:lncRNA from 1 species
CGCCGCCUCCCAGCGGGUGGCGCUGGCGAGUCGCCGACGGAGAGCGGCGGGGGCUGCGCGGGAGCGGAGCGGGAACGGGAACGCACCGGGAACGCACCGGGAACGGGAACGCACCGGGAACGGGAACGCACCGGGAACGGGAACGCACCGGGAACGCACCGGGAACGGAGCCGGAGCGGAGCCGGGAGAGGGAACGGAGCGGGAGUGGGAGCGGGAGCCGGGUCUGGCGCGGCAGCCCCGUCGUGGGUGGCGGGAGGCUGCGGAGAAGACUGGAACUUUGUGGCUUGGAGAAUGGAUACACUGACCUUUUGCUGGUGUGUGCUUCAGCUCUUGCCACAGGCAUCUGAGUGCAAGGGAGCUCAGCUGUCCUCCCCAAACCCCUACACAUGCAGACUCCUGUGAUCAGGAGCCGAUGCUGGUCUUGCCACAGAUUUCCUGUGCGGUCUUGGAUAGGAAGGUGUCUGUGUGCCUCAGUUUUUCCAUCUGUAAAAUAAGAACGAUGUUACACUGCUUCACCAGUGCAGCUAAAUUUCUGCUUUAAAAGCACUCUGUGACCUUUGGGUGAAUGGUGGUAAUGAGCUGUUUGCGUUAUUUAUAAGUAUCAUUUGCUGUGAUGUAAAUAUUUUUUUGUAUUGUUCAUACUGUGUUUAUUUUGUGCAAGUGAAUACAGUCCCAAUGAAAGCAGGAGACCGAGUAUUUUGCUUUCCCACGUAACUCAACCAGCGUUCCCAAAUUCUGAUCUCUAACACCUCUGCUAUUGCAGUCCUGGGCCUCUCUUGAGCAGAAACUGCUGAUCAUGCCAAAUUCUCUGGUGUUUUGUAAUGUGGGCUAACAUGGGCUGAGGUUUGGAUGAGACCAAUAGACUCAUUUUCACUUAGGGCCUGCAGCAGCACUGAAGCUGGAGAGAACAGAAGUGAAAGGUCAGUGUUUCCCUUCCCUGAGCCACACAGCUCCUGUUUGAAAGCAAAUAAAAAUAUAAUAUGACUCCUAAUAUUUAUAAAU